UUUGAAACGAGGCCCUCGAUAGUGUGAGGUGACAUUCUUUUUCCGGCAUGUCUGAUAACUUAACGAGAAUAGAUGUUCUCGUUAACGUGUGUUCUUUUUGUUAAGGAAAAAAAUUUGAGGGUUCAACUUGAGAUCGGAGAGAAAACAGGUGAAGUGAAAUUUUGGGUAAACAUUAGGAUCAUUUUAUAAAUUAUCCCUAAAAUCAAAGAUAAGGGACCAAAUAGCCAAACCACUUAUAAUACAGGGACCCGAGAUGUGUUUAACUUUUAUUUUCUUUUAUUGUUUUUUUUUGUCAAAUUUUAUUGUUUAGUUUAUUUAAGUAAAUUCCCCAUACUUUUUCUGAUAGUGCCGAAGCAGAAGAAAAUCGUAUGAAAUGUAAGCAAUCGCCAUUUUCUAGUGUUUCUUAGCUUCUCUCUUACUUAAUGGCUGCUCCUUCUUCUUCUUCAACGACUCUUGAAUCAAAGAAUUACGACGUAUUCAUUAGUUUCAGAGGCACUGAUAUUCGAGAUGGAUUUCUGAGCCAUCUUCAUCAAUCGCUGCUUCAAAACCAAGUCAAUGCUUUUGUGGAUGACAAUCUUGCGAGAGGAAAAGACAUCACAUCAUCACUUUUAGAAAUAAUCGAAAAAUCAUAUGUUUCGGUUGUCAUUUUCUCCACCAAUUAUGCGGAUUCUUCAUGGUGUUUGGACGAGCUCGUCAAAAUACUUGAAUGCCUACAGAACAAGAAGCAGAUCGUCUUGCCGGUGUUUUACCGUGUGGAUCCAAGUCAUGUUCAAGACCUGACGGGGAGUUAUGGAGACGCAAUUGAGAAGCAUAAACAAGAAUUCAGUGACUGUUUGGACAAGGUCAAGAAUUGGAGUAAUGCUUUGAUGGAAAUUUCAAACUUAUCAGGCUGGGAUUCACGGAUUACUAAGCCUGAGUCUAAGCUGAUAAAAGAAAUUGUAGAUUAUGUUCUGGAAAAAUUGGAUCAUGCAACUCCAAUUGAUUUUUGCAAUGAUGGCCUAGUUGGAAUUAAUUCACGUGUUAAGGACGUCCGUUCAUUGCUGUGCCUCGAGUCAAAAGACAUUCGAAUUAUUGGGAUUUGGGGAAUGGGUGGUAUAGGGAAAACAACUGUCGUUGAUAAGCUCUUUAAUGAAAUCUAUAACCAAUUCCCGCGUCGAUGCUUUGUCGCAAAUGUUAGGGAGAGAUUAGAAAACUCUACCAAGGAUAGUCUACAAACUGAAAUUCUUUCUGCCAUACUAGGCAAAGAAAACCUUAAUACAGGAAUGCCCAUCAUGUUGAACUCCUAUGUGCGGAGACGGCUCUCCCAAGAAAAAGUUCUUAUUGUUCUUGAUAACGUGAGUGAUUUGGAUCAAAUAGAAAGCUUAGUAAGAAGUAACGUUGUGUUUGGUUCAGGCAGUAGAAUCAUUAUAACAAGUAGGGAUAAACAAUUGCUCAAGAAUGUGGGUGCUAGAAUAUAUGAAGUUAAGAAAUUAAAUUACUAUGAAGCUCUUCAUCUCUUUAGCUUGCAUGCCUUUAAAGAAAAUUCUCUAAAGAAAGAAUACAUGGAGUUGUCACGCAUGGCAAUUAUUUAUGCUCAAGGCGUUCCAUUAGCUCUUAAAGUAUUGGGGUCCAAUUUGUAUGGUAAGGGUAUACAAAUAUGGGAAGAUGAGUUGGAGAAACUCAAAGGUUCUACUUAUGAAAAAGCGCAAUUUUUUUUAAGAUUAAGUUAUGACGGACUAGAUGAGAAAGAAAAGGAUAUUUUUCUUGAUAUCGCGUGUUUUUUUAAUGGAUGUGACAAACAUAGUGUGACAAAUAUAUUAAAUGGCUGUGGCUUCUUUGCAAAAUCUGGAAUAAGCCUUCUCAAUGAUAAGUCUCUUAUAACAAUUUCAAGUGACAACGAGUUAUGCAUGCAUGACCUGUUACAGAAAAUGGGGAAAGACAUUGUUUCGGAAGAGAAAGAACUCGCUAGACGUAGCAGGUUGUGGGAUCCCAAAGAUGUAUAUAAAGUGUUGACAAGAGAUAUGGGGACUACAAGUGUUGAAGGCAUUUUAUUAGACAUGUCCCAGAUCAAAUAUCUGGAUUUAAGUCCUACAGCUUUUGCAAAGUUCUGCAAUCUUAGGAUUCUAAAAUUUUACGAUUGCUAUAGAAAUAACAAAAUACUCCUUCCUGGAGGCCUUGAAUAUUUUCCUCAUGAGUUGAGAUUUCUCCAGUGGGAUAAUUUUCCUUUAAAUUGCUUGCCAAUACAAUUCUGUCUUGAAAAUCUUGUUGAACUUCACAUGCCCAAAAGUAAAAUCAAGCACCUCUGGACUGAAGAUCAGGCCCUUCCAAAUUUAAAAGUGAUUAACCUCGAAGACUCUGCGGACCUUGUCCAUAUUCCUGACCUGUCUACUGUCCCGAGCCUUGAGGUCUUAUGUUUGCACCUUUGUACAAGUUUAAUUGAGAUUCCAAUGUCUAUCCAAAAUCUAAGCAAGCUGACUCGAUUGGUUCUGUCAUUUUGUACAAGUCUUUAUAGUUUGCCGAGCUGCCUUCCUUCGAGUAUAAAAAGCCUAUAUUUGGAUGGGACUCCAAUAAAGCAAUUACCUUCUUCAACUGAAUCUCUCUCUCAUCUUAUUCAUAUGGAAUAUCUUCCAUCCAAUCAGUUGGAGAGUAUACCAAGUAGCAUUGCUCAGUUGACAUGUCUCAGGAAAUUCAUGUUGGUGGGAUGCUCAAAAUUGCCAAGUCUUCCAGACACCAAUUGCAAUCUGAAAUCACUUGCAAAAUUUUCUUUGCCGAAUUGUGUGAAUCUGAAUGAAUUGCCGGAAAACUUUGGAAAUUUAGAAUAUUUGGAAGAAUUGAGUACAACAGAUAGUGGUAAUAAAGAGCUGACAUCUUCCAUCAAUCUGUUGAGGCAAUUAAGGUACUUGAAUUGUUCCGGGUGUAAAGGUUUAAUAUUGCCUCCUUUAAAAAAAUUGACAUGUCUAACAUAUGUUGGUCUAAGUCGCUGUGGUUUCUUAGAAUUUCCCAACAGCCUUUGCUCUGUUAAGUCGUUGAAAACAUUAAAUUUAGAUGGAAAUGAUUUUGAGAUCAUACCUGCAAGCAUCACGCAGCUUUGUAAUUUGAGUUUACUCAAUUUAAAAGAUUGCAUAAGGCUUAAACAUAUACUAGAUCUUCCAUCGUCUUUGGAUAAUUUAUUUGCAAGGAACUGUGUCUCUCUGGUAUCAGCAUCAACUUCAUUCUUAUUGAAAGCAAUGACAGAGCGGCGUUGCUUAGGCAAAUUAGAUUUUGGAAACUGCAUUGACUUAACUGAGGCAGCAUGUGGUAAAAUUAUGGAUGAUGUAUUGACAACACAUCAGGGCAAAGACGGAGUUAUUGCGUUAUGUAUUGCCGGAAGUAAUCUGCUGCAGAGGAUGAGGCAUCAAAAUGAUAGCGGAUCUUAUUUGUCGUUCAAACUGGGGCGGCAUGACCUGAUCGGUCUCUCUUUUUGUGUUGUUGUAGCAUCUAAAGUAUAUCCUCAUCGUGGAUUAUUCGACAUUGGCUGUACAGCAACUUUUACAGAUGACUUUGGACAUAGCUUUGAUGAAACUUUCUUUCUGUAUGGAGAUGAAGGCCGUGAAAUGGAUUUUCAUUCAGACAAUGGAUUCCUUUGGCAUAAUCCAAUCUUUGAUUUCAACUCCAGGCGCUGUUUUAGCAACGCUUCUUUACAAUUCUUCCUCAAGUAUUCAACCAAUGAGGCGGGGAUAAGCAAGUGCGGCGUUCAUCCAAUAUUCAACCAAGGCAAAAGGAAGAAAGAUGAAGAUAAUGAGGAUGAUGAGCUGGAUAUGAAGGAGGAGGAACCUCCUAGUAAGAGAUAUAAAGAGAUGGAAGAAUUGAAUGAGGUCAUCCUAAAACUUUCUGAUUGUUUCCUAAAUACUGAAAAUAAAGAAGAUGAACCUCCCCUUCGACAAUGGAAGGAGACCCGAGAGCUGAAAUGUCAUGAUCUUAGUGCUUUUCUUGCUUCACUAUUGAUGGUAAAUACAUGUCUUGCUACCUCAAGCCAGGCUAAACCUCAGACAACAGAUAUUAUCUUUACUUUGAUGAUGAUCACUGUCUGUUUGAAGUUGCUUUCCUUUGCAUCUUCUCUAUCUCUUCAUGGAUUUUCUCUCUCUUUAACUUGCUGAGUUUUCUUGCUGUGCAUGGUGCUUUCAUAUUAAUGUUGGUAGCGAAGUAAGAAGGUGGUGUGGUCAAGUGCAACAGUACAGCAUUCUACUAUACAAGUGAACUGUGAAAGCCUGAGUGAAAUGCUGAAGCAGAUGGAAUCUGAUGGCUAGAAUGUUUCAUAAAUAGAGUGGAAGCCUUACUUGAACCUCCGUAUAUAUCCUUUCAUUAUCUUCUCAUGAAUGCAUGUUUUGAGCUGAAUCCCGUCAAAUAUAUCGCCUAGUGCAUUUACUAGUUUUCAGUAUUUUAUGUGAAUUCCCUUCAAAUGAAAGUGCUCAAUGCAUAUGAACGAGCAUGCAUGUAUUUGAGUGAGAGAAAUAUAGGGAGAGACAGACUUAAGGAACGCAAUGGAAACAAGUUUUACAUGCAGAAAAUCAUGUGAAAAAUCAAGUUUGACUCAUGGCAAUUAGUUAGAAACUGAUUACCAGAAAUAAUUUAAUAAAACAAAACUAUUGUACUAAUUUUAUUAAAAUUUUUUAGUCCAUUUUAUAUCACUUUAUUAGAAAUAAAUUGACUAUUAAUUAAUUUAAUUAAUUCGUCUUUAAAUUAAUUAUUUUA